UAUAAAAUUGGGGUUGUGGUGAUCCUUGUACAACUAUAAAUGUAAUAAAAUAUAUUGAGUUUAAAAAAUAAAACCCUUGAGGCUGUAUGUAUCCUAGAAUUAAGACAUUUUCAAUUUUUAAAGAAAGGUUAAAUAGAGAAUAUAUAUGUUAUACAUACCCCAUAACAGAGUUUGAACUGUGGAAUCAAAUGUACUAACAAUUCUGCAAGAAAGUAUAGGAAAAUACACACUUUGAAUAAACAAAGACUAGAAAUAGCCACACAGUAGUUCAGGUAAAGUUUUGCCAUCAAGGGACUUUAAGUCAGAUCAGGCGUCAAAUGAGUUAUAGAAAACUUGUGUUUCAGCUGGAACUGCCUUAGUGUUUUGCCAGGUAUUACAGUACAUAGUAAAUUUUCAAAGACAUUGUCUUAUUACUAAUAUUAUUAUUUAAUAAAAACACUUAUUGAGUGCCUACCACAUGCUACUUAUUUUGACACAUAUUAUUAUCAUAUGUCAUAUGGAACAUCUUGAUUAAGGUCAGAGCCCCUUCUUUCUUGUAAGGCUCUGAUUAAUUCUUUAUUUUUAAGACUGAGUGAAAUCUUCAGAACUUGAGGAGACAGGUGCCAGUCAGAUUUUUUUCUAACAAUUUAAAACAUUUUUAUCUUCUGGAUAACCUUAACAUUCAGAUAUGGAUGACAAUGAUUUAUUUUUUUUUAAGUUUUUAUUUAUGUACAAUUGACAAGGUUGUAAGGUAUAUAAGGUAUAUAAUGUGUUGGUUUGAUAAAUGUAUACAGCAGUAUGAAAGAAUUCCUUCCAUCAAGUUAAUUAACACACCCAUCACCUCACAUAUUUACCUUUUUUUUUUUUUUGAUGAGAACAUUUAAGUUCUACUCUCUUUGCAAAUUUCGAUGAUAGAAUACAGUGCCAUCAACUAUAGCCACCAAGUUGUACAUUAGAUACUGAUUCAUGGUGAUGAAGGCUUCAAGCAGAAGUGGAAAUGAUAGGUGGUGUAGAUAGCCAGUUGCAGCAUUCUGUCUCCUCCUUGAGCCACUGAGAAGGGGCAUCUUAUAUUGUCUCCCAGAUAUUACAUAGUAGCAAACUAUGUGAAAAAUGUCAUGACAAGUUACAAAAUACACAAACUGCCGAAAACCCCAUGCUCUUGUUUUCUUCCCUACUUAAUUUAUAUAAAUUGCACUUCAAGAUUUGUGCAGAGGAACACAUGAUACCAUCCACUGCUUAUAACAGUUUAUUGAAUCUAUGUUCAUAGAUGAAAGAAGCCUUGUUCCAAGCUAACUGGCCAAGGCCUUGACGUUCAGGGUAGCCCUCAUGUACUUUAAACCUAAAUGUAUUCAGUGACCUGCCUAAAUGAUAAAAGAGGUCAUCAUAAUUUUUUUUCAGCAAAAUUUCUCUAAGACGACUGACCCCUAGUUUUAUUUUUUUUUAAUUUACUGUUUAAUGAUUACAGUCCAAACAAAAUAAAUAUCCUAUAAAUUUUUGUGUAAGUAGGUUGGCCCCUGGUUUUCAUUAUUUUAUUGUUAAAUAACCUCAGGUUGAAUACAAGAAUAGUGUAUAUAAAUAUAUAUAUACAUAUAGAAGUAUGGGAAAUACAUAUUUAUAUAUCAUGGAUAUAAAAUAUAUCCAUAGACAGAAAUAUAGACAUCCCCUGUAAAAAGCCUGUCUAGACUUUUUUUCCCAAAAAACCUUUUUUCAGGACACAUCUCCUCUAUCCACUCACUGAAAUGUGAAAUUCACUCAGGAGGCCACUUUAUUUCCAGCUUAAAAUUCCUAAUGUUCUGAGCACUUGAUAUGGUGCCCUUUAGGAUUACAGCCAGUUGAACUUAAAUUCUGUGGCCAUUACCCCACAAGGUACAUUGGGCUGUGAAACAAGCUCUUAAAGGAAAGUAGUUUUUCAAGUUACAUUAUGGUGCUUUGAAAGGGAAUAAAAUCCUUAAUGAGAAAAUGAGUCUCUUGAGACUUCUGGCUCCAAGGUCAGCUCUGCACACUUGCCCUCUUGGUUGGCAAAGAAUCUGUUAAGGGACAUUGCAGGGAGCCCAUUCUCUAAAAGGUCCAGGAUGAAAUAGGAUGACAAUCUGUUCCCUGGAGCCUUUGUGGGGCAACUUUAUUAUUCUUUGACAGAUUUCCUCAGAAGCUGUUCCCACACAACAAUACCCAGUCACCAGCCUCUCCCGUGGCUACAGACCAACCAAGGAAGGUGAAACUGGGUUGCUAAGGAACCUGUUGCAACAGCACUUGAUGGAACUAACACUUGUCAGCUAAUAACAGUUCAGCGUGAAUAAACUUAUCAGUAUCCUCCCAAGCGCAUUAAUACAUUGUCAGCUUCUGCAAGGCUUGGGCCCCAUGUUUAUUUAUCUUUAUUUCUAUCCACACCUAGUGCAGUGCUAAGCAAAUGUUUUUGGAGUGUCAGCUGAGGUCAGCCUGCUCUACAAUACUGCCUUCAGCUGCCUCUUCCUGGUUGGGAGUGAGGAGGAGGAAGAGGGGCUUUUUCUAGUUCCUGUUGCUCAUUGUUUGAGUCUAUGCUGUCCAAGAUGUGGCUGCUUUGGGAGGACACAGAACUGGAGGGAGACCAAACUUAUCUGGACCUUAGCGAUUGAUUAAGAAGAAAAUGAUGCUUCAAAUUCAAAAUCAUUCACCAAAUGGGGGAAGUAAAUAACUAUCGUCAGUUAAGGAAGGAAGCAACAUUGAUGACAAUGCCUCAAGGUAAAACCUGCAACAAUCUUGGCAUAUUUCAGGAAAUCCAGGGAUAAGAAAUUCAACCAGGCUUUGCAAGAGACUAAAGCUAAGGGCAUCCAAACCAAGGCAGUCAAGACAACCCAGAAACCAAGGUGCAUGGACAGCAUACACACUGUGAAGUUAUCCUUAUCUGCUUGACUUCUGAGUAUUUCCAGUCAAGGCUGUGGACAAUGAAGAGGUCACAAUCUCAUGAUCUGUUGUCAUGUGCCUGCCUCAGGCAGAGAACACUUCAGACACUUGCGUGGUGCCAGAAUACCGAUUCCGGAGAAGCUGAGGCAACAUAAUAUUCUUCCCAGAAAAACAUGCCACUUUUUUUUUUCAUCCUCUCUUUAAAAUUCUUUGUUUAGUUUGAUUAGAGUUCCACAUCAGAGGCAUUUUCUAGGGCAUGGGACCUGCCUGCUUGGGAACUCCCCACUGUGCUUAUGUAAGCCCUGUUCACCCAGUCUGAGCUGCUGGAGCUCAGAACAACUCUAGGGCAUUUUUGUUUUCUGUUUUAUAUCUCGUUUGUUCUUUCCCUUUGUUCUCGUUCAUUCAGAGGAAGGUGUGUGCUAAUGCCAACUUGUUAGAAGUGUACCCAGCAGGAGAAGGAAAUGAGCUGUUUGGAUUCUUUAAAAUAGUUCUUGCUUAUUUGCCCAGGGCUUUAGAUUACAAUUAGAUGGUAGUCUUUCCAUCGACAUAAGGGGCUCACUCCUCAAAGAGCUUAGGUCAGAGAUUUCAGUUGCUCAGUGAACACCAAUAGACUUUGAUGGUUUGCCCCAACUCUCUGGUAAUUAGCUCAUACCCCACCUCCCCUGCCUGGUAAAAAUGUUUCUUGUCUCUUCUUUCUACACCAGGGCUAUCUUCAAAAAAAAAAUAGAUACGUUGGAGAUUGACUGACUCUGAAAUUUUGUUUGGAAAAUGCUGGAUUCUGGCAUGAGUUGUAUUUCCUAUCUUGCUUCUCUCUACUCUCUGGCCUUGCCUCUUGGAAUAGGUUAAAAGCAAAAGGAAGUGCUGAGCUAAAUUUAUAAUCUGGGAGUAUUUUUUAAAGUUAAAUUUUAGAAUAUAGCAUCAGAAAAGGAGCGAAAAUAAAUGAACAUCCUUGCAAAGCAUUUGAAGAGCUAGUGUUUUGGACCAAAGCUCAUGUUUAGCUUAUUGUCCAAUGCAACUUCCAGGUUUAGCCGCUUUUGAUUGAUGCCUUUUGUUUUUACAUGUUUGUGCUCUCUCUGGAACACAAAGAUAGUCUUCCAAGACACUGGAAAGCAUUUCAUGGUGAUAGGAAGGGAACUCCUAUAACAUCUUCUUGUGCCAGAUAAACCAUCCUGAGCCAUUUAUUCUCCUACUUCAAACAUUUUCCCUUCAUAUCCAGAAAAGAGCCCAAUUUUAAGUAGCAGGACUUAGAACAAAGAACCAGUGGAGACAGGGAUUAUGAUUUUCCACAGUUAUUACUCAGAAAGGUUAAGUAUGUUUUACUCAAUUAAGCACAGAUGAGCCCCUGUGCACCACUGGUUUGUAAUAGCCCUAAUUGAUUCUGAGGCGAGAUCUCUGGUCAGAGUCAAGCCAGAUGUAAGCUUUGUUAGUGAUGUUGAUGGAAUGACCCCAGGAAGCUUCAUUUUUAUGGCUUUGAUAUAAAAAAAAAGUCCAAGGAGCUUGCCCAGGCUUCUCUGCUUCCUUAAUUAUAUUUUUGAUAAUUUAUUUUACCAAUUGACUUCUAGCCAGGCCAGGUUAUGUUUGAUCUUGAUGAGGCUGCAGAUUUGCAGGAGAGGAGGAAAUGUCCUUGCUCAUUAUCUUCUAGUCUGGCUUUAUCAGAUCUGUUUUCUGGAAACUGUAUGCAAAUUCUGGUUCUUAGAGGUUUUCUCUAAAAAAAUCACUCCUUCCUUUCUCUCCCUUCUUUUGAAUCAUUUCAUUAGCGUAGGGUGAAUAGUCUGUCUCCUGGCUUCUAAUCACUGACGUGGAGAUUUCACCAUUAGCUGCUUAUUCUGCUGUCUUAAGGAUUCUCUUUCCAAGAUGAUUCAAAAACUAAUAUUGUUUUGUUAAAAUGAGGCUUUAGGUAGAAGAUUGGGUUAAAAUCAAAUUCCAUUAGAUAUAGCAAUCCAGUUAAUUUAGAAUUCUCUAUUCUUAGAAUUUUACUAAUGAAAUGUAGAAAUAUUUUGAUACAGGUUUUUAUUCCUGAUAAUAUUUCCAGAUUGGACUCAGCAUCUAGCACCCUCUUCCUGUCUCCUUCUGGAAAGGAGACAGGAAGAGAAGGCAGAGAGUAAGCAAAUGAGGCUAAGUUUUCUGUCAUGAGGCAGAAUGUGGACUUAAGUGAUAAAUAAAGUUUUAUGUUUUUGUUUUUUUCUUCAGCACUGGAGUUUGUGGGCUCUAGGGCUCAUAUUUAUGAUAGGUUUUCUAUUAUAUUCUGUUAUAAAUAUUUGUUACAGGAGUUCAAUCCUGUCGAUUCACAUAGGUAUGCUCUCUUAGAAUGCAAGUAACUCUGGGAAAUGAAAAAUAUUAAGUCCUUCCUACCUCAAUACCCUUCAAGAUAUAGUUCUUGCAGAGAAAAAAAAAAAUGUUGGAAUCCAGGACGUAUUCAGUUUAUGUGUGUAGUUACUGAUGGGCAAAGAUAAAUAGUCUGUAUAUGUUUCUUUGGAGGAGAGGGUGUAGGUUCAGAGAGAGGGGAGGGAUGUGGUCCUGAGAACACACUUUAUGUAUGAAAAUUUCGACCUCCAGCUCAAGACUUUUCAGAGUUCUCUGUCACCUUUAGCAGCAGGUAAUUCAUAUUCAAUGGGUUUAUGAAUAAAUAUUUUAUUCUGGUAAAGAGAAAGCCCACAGGCCCCAAAAGGUGUUAGUUGUGCUAAAACCUAAGAUACCAAACCUAGAUUUAAUACCUAACCUAACUGCAGUUUAGACCUUCACCAAAAAUGAAAUCUUAAUUAACCAGUCUGGCUUUUUCUGGUCGGCACCAAUGAGAUAAUCUGCCCCAUGGGACCUCUCCAUGGCCCAUAGGAAGAAGAGGCAAUUUGAAUGAUAAAACCCUUGCUGUUCUCUACACCACCAACCAAAAAAAAAGAUAUCCUGCCCCCCUCCAAAAGUCACCCUUUCCCACCCCUUUUUCUUUUUUUGCUAACAGCUCCCUUGCCCCACCCUUCUUCCUAUAAAAUUCUUCCAUGUGUACAAUCCCUUGCAUUGUCCCUUCAGUUGCUAGAUGGACAGCUGCCCGAUUCAUGAAUUGCUCAAUAAAGCCAAGAUCUUCAAACUUC